GUAGUCUUACGUUAGAUGUGGUUUACAGAGUGGAUCAGCAUGACGAUAUACGGAAAAUUGGUGCAAAUCAUAGUGAACUGCGUUGUGAAAAAUGAUGUCAGGCGAGGUUAAGGAUGGUCUGAAGGACGAAACCACGUUUUAAAGUUAUAAAGCGAAAACAUUUCCUUGUUUUUGUUGAAACGAAGAACUGUUAACAUUUUAUUUGUAGUUAUAAGUAACGACAUUUAGUAUUUAAUUUUAGGAUAGGAUGUAAAAAUGUUCUUACCCCGUUAUAGUUUGUAAAUAAAAUAAAGAAAAUAA